rfam:Peptoniphilus harei ACS-146-V-Sch2b contig00014, whole genome shotgun sequence.
UCAUAGACUUUGAAGAGGAGAGUACAUUGUAAAAGUUUUUACAGAGAGGUUUCGCUUGGUGAAAGAAAUCAAAAUGGAUACUUUGGAACAUGGCCUUGGAGUUAUCGCACCGAGACAAGAGUUUAGGCUGCGACAGGUACGCCUGUUAUAGCGUUCGGAGUAUGUUGGUACUCUAUGAGGUUAUUUUAGCGAUAAAAUAAUAAAAAAAGGUGGUAACACGAAGCUCAAGCUUUCGUCCUUUAU